rnacentral:lncRNA from 1 species
GUACUCUCAAAAUAUGUUUAAACUUACACUUGAAUGGUGAUGACAGAGAGGAUGAGGAAGGGGUCAAGGAGAUGAAGAGAAUAACAAAUAAGAUGUGAUUACUACUAAUGAUAAGUUGAACCAUGAGGAAGAUACACAACAACAUGAGCAUGAUGAGGAAGAGGCAUACAUUGUGGAAGAACAAAAGUCCAAGCCCAAGAAUUAUCCUACUAAGGCCUAAGACUAA